UGGUAUCGGUAUCGGACUCGACCCGGAACUUCUUAAUUAUUGGCAAUAUUAAUUACGUGGAAAACAAAAGGGCCUGGAGUGGUGUAAUUUUUAAUCUACACCUUUGUACUAUAUUAGUUAUAUAUAAAGUUGAAUUCUUUGAUUCGUCGUUUUUACGUGAUGACGGCUGACAAAUUGGACCUCGUAAUUUUAGUAUUAUAGAUAUCAUA
rnacentral:lncRNA from 1 species